GGUUUGAUCCUGGCUCAUAGAUUGAACGCUGGCGGGGAUAAGCUUACACAUGCAAGUCGAACGGCAGCACGGACUUCGGUCUGUAUGAGUGGCGAACGGGUGAGUACGUAUCGGAACGUGCUCAGGUAGCGGGGAUAACUACGCGAAAGCGAAGCAUUACCGUACACAUUGUUCUUCGGGGAAAGCGGGGACCUUCGGGCCUCGCAAAACACAGAGCGGCCGAUAUCGGAUUAGCUAGUUGGUGGGGUAACGGUCACCGCGACGAUCCGUAGCUGGUUUGAGAGGACGACCAGCCACACUGGGACCGAGACACGGCCCACCCUACGGGAGGCAGCAGUGGGGAAUUUUGGACAAUGGGGAAACUCCUGAUCCAGCCAUCCCGCGUGUGCGAUGAAGGCCUUCGGGUUGUAAAGCACUUCGGCAGGAAGAAACGGCACGGAUAAUACCCCGUGCAACUGACGGUACCUGCAGAAUAAGCACCGGCUAACUACGCCAGCAGCCGCGGCACAGGUGCAAGUGUUAAUCGGAAUUACUGGGGCGUAAAGCGUGCGCAGGCGGUUCGGAAAGAAAGGAUGUGAAAUCCCAGAGCUUAACUUUGGAACUGCAUUUUUAACUACUUGAGCGAGCGUGUCAGGAGGGAGGUGAAUUCCGCGUGUAGCAGUGAAAUGCGUAGAUAUUUUGAGGAACACCGAUGGCGAAGGCAGCCUCCUGGGAUAACACCGACGCUUCAUGCACGAAAGCGGGGAGCAACAGGAUUAGAUACCCUGGUAGUCCACGCCCUAAACGAUGUCAACUAGUCGUUGGGCCUUCGGGCCUGGUAGCGCAGCUAACGCGUGAAGUUGACCGCCUGGGGAGUACGGUCGCAAGAUUAAAACCUGCCAAAGGACGGGGACCCGCACGCGGUGAUGAUGUGAUUAAUUCGAUGCAACGCGAAAACCUACCUACCCUGACAUACUCCGAAUCCCGAAGAUUUGGGAGUGGUUGCAAGAGAACCGAACACAGGUGCUGCAUGGCUGUCGUCAGCUCGUGUCGCGAGAUGUUGGGUUAAGUCCCGCAACGAGCGCAACCCCGGCUUCGGCUACGAAAGGGCACUCACGAGACUGCCGGUGACAAACCGGGAGGAAGGUGGGGAUGACGUCAAGUCUGCCGGCCCUUAUGGCGGUAGGGCUUCACACGUCAUGUCAAUGGUCGGGACAGAGGUCGCCAACCCGCGAGGGGGAGCCAAUCCCAUGAAACCUGAUCGUAGUCCGGAUCAGCAGUCUGCAACUCGACUGCGUGAAGUCGGAAUCGCUAGUAAUCGCGGAUCAGCAUGUCGCGGUGAAUACGUUCCCUGGCCCUGUACACACCGCCCGUCACACCAUGGGAGUGGAUUUACCAGAAGUGUUAGCCCAACCGUAAGGAGGGCGAUUACCACGGUAGAUUCAUGACUGGGGUAAAUGUAACAAGGUAA
rnacentral:rRNA from 1 species